AGUGAACGCUGGCGGUAGGCCUAACACAUGCAAGUCGAACGGCAGCACAGUAAGAGCUUGCUCUUACGGGUGGCGAGUGGCGGACGGGUGAGGAAUACAUCGGAAUCUACUUUUUCGUGGGGGAUAACGUAGGGAAACUUACGCUAAUACCGCAUACGACCUACGGGUGAAAGCAGGGGAUCUUCGGACCUUGCGCGAUUGAAUGAGCCGAUGUCGGAUUAGCUAGUUGGCGGGGUAAAGGCCCACCAAGGCGACGAUCCGUAGCUGGUCUGAGAGGAUGAUAAGCCGCACUGGAACUGAGACACGGUCCAGACUCCUACGGGAGGCAGCAGUGGGGAAUAUUGGACAAUGGGCGCAAGCCUGAUCCAGCCAUACCGCGUGGGUGAAGAAGGCCUUCGGGUUGUAAAGCCCUUUUGUUGGGAAAGAAAAGCAGCAGGUUAAUACCCCGCUGUUCUGACGGUACCCAAAGAAUAAGCACCGGCUAACCUCGUG
rnacentral:rRNA from 1 species